AAAGAGCACGCGCAUUUUUAGCGGUCCGGAGCUGUAGGAGAAACACAAAUUACCUCAGGCACACAGACUGAUGCGACAAAACCAACAUGGCUGGUAAGGACAUGAGGAGGAAACAGUAGGAGCUGUGUGAGGCUACUAAAGGCAGUGGAUCCCUCAGCAGCUGGAUUACAAAGAACACAGUCUCAGAUCAGCACAGCCCUACCCUCCAGCACUAUCAGCAGCAGGAGCAGCAACAACCCCUCAACAGCAACAUUGUACCCAUCAGAGACCUAAAGAUUCCAACAUUGUCCCCAGACGAGGUUUCCACCCUGGAUGCACCUCUGCAGCAGCAGGAGAUCAUAGCGGCAAUAAAAUCGUUACAGUCUCGCCGAUCACCAGGCCCUGAUGGCUUACCGACCGAGUUUUAUGCCGCCUUUGC
ensembl:lncRNA